rnacentral:rRNA from 1 species
UACGGAGGGUGCAAGCGUUAUCCGGAUUCACUGGGUUUAAGGGUGCGUAGGCGGGCAGGUAAGUCCGUGGUGAAAUCUCUGAGCUUAACUCAGAAACUGCCAUGGAUACUAUUUGUCUUGAAUAUUGUGGAGGUAAGCGGAAUAUGUCAUGUAGCGGUGAAAUGCUUAGAUAUGACAUAGAACACCAAUUGCGAAGGCAGCUUACUACACAGUUAUUGACGCUGAGGCACGAAAGCGUGGGGAUCAAACAGG